AAAUUGAAGAGUUUGAUCAUGGCUCAGAUUGAACGCUGGCGGCAGGCUUAACACAUGCAAGUCGAACGGUAACAGGAAGCAGCUUGCUGCUUUGCUGACGAGUGGCGGACGGGUGAGUAAUGUCUGGGAAACUGCCUGAUGGAGGGGGAUAACUACUGGAAACGGUGGCUAAUACCGCAUAACGUCGCAAGACCAAAGAGGGGGACCUUCGGGCCUCUUGCCAUCAGAUGUGCCCAGAUGGGAUUAGCUUGUUGGUGAGGUAACGGCUCACCAAGGCGAC
rnacentral:rRNA from 1 species